rnacentral:misc_RNA from 1 species
GGUAGUUGAAUAAUAGUUAUCAUAGGGAAGAGGUGUGCGAGAACUAAGUAAUAACAAUUACAAUACUACUACUAUUUAAAAAAGAAAAAACAAGUACAUAACACAUUGAAAAAGUUCAACAACUCUUUUUGUUUUUAUGAACACAUGUGGCGUCAUUCAUUGCAUUUAGUUAGUGUGAGUUCAGAAGGAUGUGACAGACAACUCAACCCUUGAGUUUCUGAGUUUGUAAAUGAUAUAAGAGAGUGAGCAUGACAAUCUAUACUUCAACCAUGUCCUCCUUAUUGUCCUCACUCCCUUCCACUUCAAAACAAUAGGCUUGCAGUACAACCAAUCAUAGAAGUAGGUGACCUGAUUCAUUAAUCAAUCCAAGAGCAAGAGGCUAUUGGGAGUAUGAAUCCUUCAGAGUUGACGGACACAUCUACCUCCUCAGGAGGAAGUUCCGCUAUUAAAAAGAAAGUAACGAUAGCGGAAGAAGAAAAUGUGGUUGUGGAGCAUCCAUCCCAUGAUCAUCGUGAUAGGAGAUGGAUGAUGGGGGAGGGGUCCGGGAGAGAGCGGACGUCUUCGCCAGGGAAAGUUAAAAUUGAUUUAAAAACGAGUCGUAUCAAGUCGAAUGAAGAAAUUGAGGCCGAAAGGGAUGCGAAAGUAAUGCAUCCUUCAUUGCACAAGGUUAAAUUGGAACGAGUUUUGGGUCUAACAGUUCCUAGUAAUGCUGGUCUUGCUUCUUCUCCUGCCACUGGUAUCGUCGCAUAUCCUGCAGGUUGUACUGUGGUACUCUAUAAUCCUCGCAAAAACCGUCAGAGCCAUGUUACUAACCUCUCUCGCAAGACCAUUACAUCCGUUGGAUUUUCAGAAGACGGUAGGUUUCUCGUGACAGGAGAGUGUGGUCAUCUUCCGAGUGUACGAAUAUGGGAUGUGCAUGAAAAAAAUAUGAUUGCAGAGUUCUCUGGUCACAAAUUUGGUAUAAACUGUGUCGCAUUUGCUCCAAAUAACAAGUAUGUGGUCUCUGUUGGGUCUCAGCAUGAUAUGAUAGUCAACGUAUGGGACUGGAAAAAUAAUGUCAAAGUUGCUUCCAAUAAAAUCUCCACCAAAGUGAAAGCCAUUUCCUUCUCGGAAAACGGCAAUUAUUUUGUCACAGCCGGUAACCGGCAUGUCAAAUUUUGGUAUUUAGAAUAUUCUCGCUCCAAAUACAAGGAUCCUAUGCCUCUCAUGGGUCGAUCUGCUAUUUUGGGGGAGCAAAGAAAUAAUUAUUUCUGUGAUGUAUCCUGUGGUAGAGGAGAAAUGGGGGACUCAACAUACGCCAUUACUAAGUCUGGGCUUUUAUGUGAAUUUAAUAAUCGAAGGUUGUUAGACAAAUGGGUUGAGUUACGGACCCAAAAUGCUAAUUGCCUCAGUGUUGGAGAGGAUUAUGUUUUCAUCGGAUGUGGGGAUGGAAUAAUACGGUGCUUCUCUCCACAUACACUUCAAUUUAUCACCACACUUCCAAGAACGCAUUAUUUGGGUGUUGAUGUUUCAAAAGGUUUGAGUAUUAGUCACAUGGCAUCUCACCCUCCGACUGCUAAAUAUCCCGAUGCUAAAGCUAUCACCUAUGAUGAGCAAAACUUUAAAGUUACAGUUGUCUAUAACGAUCAUAGUAUAUACGUUUGGGAUGUCAGAGAUAUUAAAAAGGUUGGAAAGUCACACUCUUUUAUUUUCCAUUCUGCUUGUAUUUGGGGUCUAGAGAUUUAUCCCUCCUUUAUAGAUGGUGAAAAGAAGAAUCCACAGCAAAAACCCGUUUUGCCUCCUGGUUCCUUUAUUACGUGUAGUUCGGAUGAUACAAUUAGGAUUUGGAACUUAAGUUCCAACAUGUCUCACAGUACUUUAUAUAGACGAAAUAUAUAUAGUGAUGAACUAUUGAAAACUUUAUACGUGGACAGCGAAUUAAAUCACAUCAAAGAACUAGAUAAUUCAAAUGUAGAUAAAGGAGUCGGUGGAGGAAGUGUUAGCGGUGGAGGUGGAUCCAACGGCGGUGAAACAGUUGUUGACCAACGUAACGGUGUGAGAUGCAUCCGGAUAUCUCUGGAUGGAAAACAUUUAGCAUCGGGUGAUCGAUCUGGUAACAUACGAGUUCAUGACUUACAAUUCAUGGAUGAAAUAUGCAAAAUUGAAGCACAUGACGCUGAAGUUUUAUGCCUUGAAUACUGUGGUCCCAUUGAGAAUUCAAAAGGAAAGUAUUUGUUGGCUUCAGCCUCAAGGGACAGAUUAAUUCACAUCUUUAACGCCACUAGAGAUUAUAACUUUUUAACCACCUUGGACGAUCAUAGUUCAAGUAUAACUGCUGUUAAGUUCCUACCUUCUCCAUAUAUUCAAAUGGUAUCUUGCGGAGCGGAUAAAUCUAUUAUUUUUCGAGAUAUUAACGUGGACAAGCAAAAGGGUCUUCCUGAAUUUUCAAGAGGUACUCACGUUGUGGGCAAAACGACACUCUAUGACAUGGAAGUUGACCACAAUGCAAAACACAUUUUAACAGCUUGUCAAGAUCGAAAUAUACGAAUAUACACAGUGGGCAAUGGAAAACAUUUAAGGACUUUUAAGGGCUCUGUCAGUGAUGAUGGAACCCUAAUUAAAGUGGUGUUAGACCAUAGUGGUCUCUAUGCUGCCACAAGUUGUACGGAUAAAACCCUCGCCAUUUAUGACUACUAUUCCGGGGAGUGUAUGGCUACCAUGUUUGGUCAUUCUGAGCUAGUAACAGGACUCAAAUUUACAGAAGAUUGUAAACAUUUGAUCUCUGUUUCUGGGGAUGGUUGCAUCUUUGUUUGGCGAUUACCUCAUGAAAUGACUUCAAAUAUGAUAGCAAAAUUAGCAACUGUCUCAAGAAAGGACAGUAGUUCUCGUAUCUACAUUGGAAAUAAUAAUGAAGAAUAUUUUGGUUCUCCACCUCCUGACAUGAUGCAUCCUACAGUAAACCGAGAUGAAGAAGACGAUUCAUAUCGCUUUAGUGUUGGAAAACUGCCUAUUUGGGCAAAAAAACAAAUGACAGAGCGGAAGACUACUCUAUCACCUCCCCAUUCACCUCAAACAGGAACUAAAAAUUCAGUUGAUUAUCCAAAAGGGCGAUGGGCCCAAAGAGUCGGCUCUCGUGGAAUGACCGUCAAAUCUCAUUAUGACAGUGACUCAGUUAUACCUUUUCCUAAGAAAUUUGAUUCUAACUAUAACAACAGCAAGGAUAGUUCACUGGAGACUGGAGAGUAUAAGCAACAAAAAGACCUUGAGGAUGACUACAGUCUCUCUGAAAUUGAAAAUAACCGUGGUACUUCACCUCAGCAACAAAAAGAUAGUCAAGAUAGUCAAAGAUCGAAAUUACGGCUGGAUGCAUUACCUUCUCAUCUUCGUCCUGGUAAUAGAAACACUGAUGAAUCUUCUUUAGGUUCUUUUAAUCUUGACAAUACAGAGCAUGAUGCUGAUAUAGACGAAUAUAGUGAUGGUUUAACAACCCAGGAUGAUGGGGGUGAAAGCACAGAGCCAGAAGUCACGGAGCGAACAAUGUACUUUGGGCAAUCCGAAGAAACUCCAGGCGUUUACACUGUCAAUGCCAUGGAUGUUGAUGAGCUUCGUAGAUCACAGCGCCGAAGUAAGAAACCUGGAAAGGGCAUUGAGCGGUUACAACAAGGGAGUAGCAGUAAUAGCAAUACAGCUGAAGUUCUCACUACUCCAUCACAAGAUUCGGAUUCAGAUGACUCUGAGGAGGAAGAUGAGGAAGAUGAAGAAGUUUCGACACCAAGUGCUGAUAAAAAUAUCCUUUCCAUCCUUUCUGUCAGCUCGGAAAAUGUGGAUUUAGUUGGACGAAGGGAAAGAUUUCUCAAAUCGAAUUUUGAGUCUUUGGGCAGCAAUAGUGGACUCGUUACUGAAUCAAAUUCAUUUUCAAAUCAGUAUCGAGAAGGAUCGGCACUUCAUCGAAAUGCCAGCACUAUUGCUCGAGCUCAAUCUUUUAGAGACAAAGAACAAAAUAGGAAAAGGGAGGAACUUCAACGAAGGAUUGAAGAAACUAAAAAGAAGUUGCAGAACAUUGGAUAUCGCUCAAUGAUUAAAGGUAGUCAGAGCAUAUCAGAUCUCAGCAUGCACAUUCCUGAAAAAGAUUUCUCAGAAGGAUCAGCUAGUCGACCUACAAGUAGAAAUUCUGCAAGAGUUGAUGAUUGUCGAACCAUUGGCAAUUUUUCAAAUUCUGAAAGAGAAGAUCUUGACUCUGGUUUGAGGCGAACGUGUUCGUUAUCCGACCUCAAUAAACCCAUUGCUCCAAGGAGAAUUCUUCCAGCACCUCCAGCAACUGUUUCGGGUAAAAAGGUGCAAUCAUCCUCAAAGCACUGGAAAUUUUAUCCCUCCUCUCAAACACAGCAUCAGUACCAGCAGUACCAGCAGAUGCAGCCACAGACAACGAAGACCCUCCAUGGCCCUCCUAUUAUUCAUGAUCGUCCUAUUGCAAACCGUAGUAAUAAUUAUAAGAAUCUUGGUGGUAACGCUGCAUAUAAAAGUGGCCCCGAGUUCAUAUAUGGAGAGGACGGGAGUGUCGUUCCCUCUUAUAUGCGCUCUACCUCUGCAUCCGUCAAGAAAGAAAAACAGUAUCCUCUCCAUCAGUCCAACACUAUUCCUCGCAGGAAAUCAUCCAUUGGGCAAAUGUCAUCCCAGUCUACGUCAGAUUUGAGAUCCACAAAGGAAGGCGGUGGUGGUUCAUCAUCUAAUCGCAUAGAGGAUUCCAGCUCUGAAGAAAACUCUGAUCGUAAAUCUGGAAGACGUCGAUCUAGUAGUCAGGAUCGUCGGAGUUCUUCCUAUAGAAACAAUGGCUCUGAAGGAGUAGGAUUGAACCAUGAGCAUCGAGCCCGAUCUGAACGUGAUUUAAGCAAGGUGACAAAAGUAAAAGUCCGAACAAAUUCAAAAGAAGACUCUUCCUCUCUGGGCGUCGGGGGACCAACGCCCUCCUCUUACUACAAACAACAAAAAAACAAGAUGAAAACGACUACUCUCAUUGUGAACAACAACGAUGAGGACAAUGGGUUGAAUAUUAACCACAACAACAAUAACGAGCUUCGUCUUAUUCCUUCGACUCGAGUUAGAGAGGAUAUGCUUCAUUAUAAUCAACAGUCUUCUCCACUAAGUCGUGGUCUUGUGGAUAAGACUGCAGCUGCCUUAGUGCACGCUGCUGAUAAUUUAGUGCAAUUAUAUAAACGAAUAGCCAUAGACUAUGAUUUGAACGACAACAUGAAGUCGGAAUUGUUAGCAAAACUUGCCAACUCUGCUGUAACUGCUCAACAGACUCUCAAUCCAGUCCAUCCCGGAAUGGCUCAUGUACAAUUAUCAUAAUACCUAAUAUUAGUAGUUGUUGUUGUCUCCUAUUCUCAUUUACUAUAAGAGCAAGUUUUAGACUGUUUGUUGUUACUGCUGGAUAGAUCCCUACCAUAUAUCCUUGUCGCCAUACUUCUACUACUACAACUCCUUCCAUCACUUCCACUACUUUUCCUUAUUUGAAAAAAAAGGAGAACUUGCAAGCGCGGCCAUGUCAAGUAUCAAACAGAUUUUAAGCAGCAAGCAAGGACCUCAUGACAGCAACAGUGGGAGUAGCAACAGUUAUUCACGAGGUGGUAGUGGUGCCAACUGUUCUUCCACAGAU